GACGUAGGGCGCGAGCGUUGUCCGGAUUUAUUGGGCGUAAAGAGCUCGUAGGCGGCUUGUCGCGUCAACUGUGAAAACCCGUGGCUCAACCAUGUGGUCUGCAGUCGAUACGGGCAGGCUAGAAUUCGGUAGGGGAGACUGGAAUUCCUGGUGUAGCGGUGAAAUGUGUAGAGAUCGGGAAGGAACACCGGUGGCGAAGGCGGGUCUGCUGG
rnacentral:rRNA from 1 species